AGGCCUCAAGUGAUGUGUGACAACCCCCUGAUUUUUAAGCAUAAAAA
rnacentral:rRNA from 1 species